ensembl:lncRNA DRAIC downregulated RNA in cancer, inhibitor of cell invasion and migration
CCCGAGUAGCUGGGACUACAGGCGCCCGCCACCACGCCCUGCUAAUUUUUUGUAUUUUUAGGAGAAACAGGGUUUCACCAUGUUAGCCAGGAUGGUCUUGAUCUCCUGACCUCGUGAUCUGCCCGCCUCGGCUUCUCAAAGUGCUGGGAUUAUAGGCGUGAGCCACCGAGCCCGGCCAGAACUACUACAAUUUUUUUAGGGUCAUUUGGUCCUCUCUCUCAAAAGUGCGCUUACCCUCUAUCCAGGAAUUUCAUUUGUAGGAACCUAUGCUAUGUACAAUUUCACUGAAGUAUUGCUUGUAUUAGAAAAAAAGUAUGGAUGAUAGGCAGGUUGAAUAAAUGUUAAUGUUUUCAUGUAGCUAUGUAUAGGAAUGCCGCUAUGGAAAGACAUCCAGGACACCUUGUUAAGUGAAAAAAGGUUCAGUAUCUGAACACUUUUGCUAAAGGUCUCUGGAAAGCUCCCUGUGUUAAUUCUCGAUGAGACUACGUCUGUGCCGGCCGCUUCCUGAGCCUCCUUCCAUGUGCAUAGGCCUGCUGCAUGCUGGAGACCUGCGGCACAGCUGCCAAGUGCCCCGUGUGGUUCUGUGAUCUUGGGACAGUCACUUCCUCUCUGUGGUUGUCAGUCUUCUCAUCCCUAAGUGUUCUCUCUGCUCAGCCUGCCCAGAAGCCUCCUUGAGUCUCUCCAGCCCUGGGGACAGCCUGAGAUACACAGCUAAUACCAUUUCCUCUGUGUUCUGCUCUGUGUGGUGUCUCCUCUGGACUGUGCACUGGGCUGGCAUCCCCUACCUGAGGGGAUGGGCAAUAGAUAUACCCAGAGGAGCUCAGCAUGCUAGAUUUAGAAGGGACCUCAGAGAGCAUCCAGCCCUCUUGGUUUUACAUUUGUGGAAGAGAAAGCUCAUAGGGCAGGUGACGUGGCUGUGGCCACAUAGCUAAGUGGUAACAGAGUAUGCCUUCUUGACUCCCAGUCCAGUAGGAUGAAGGUCGUCAGUUUGGUACUCACUGUCCUUGGUGGAAUAUGAAAGUCAUGGGAUGGCCCUCACCCCAGGAACAUAUCAAACACUCAGCAAAAGGGGUCAGAGACUGGGCAAGAGUGGACAGAGGCCUGGGGUCUUUCCGUGGGGAGCAUGGUGACUUGGCCACUCAGCAGGGAUGGAGGUGGCGGAGCUCACGUGAGAGAAGCUUUCAAAAGGUGGUGUUGAGAGAACAGUGAAGAAUGGGCUUUGCGAGGGUGGCCUGAUGUGUAGGCUUGGCUAAGUCCUCUCCUUUCCUGACUCCAUGUUUGGUGCCUGCAUGCCUUGCUCCCCAGAGCGGGGACAGCGUGUGGGCCCCACAGCCAUGGGAGAGCAGAACUGCCCAGGGUAGGAGGUCACAGCCUCAGGCUGCCUGGUCCCACUCCAGCAGCCUUCUUGGCCCCAGGUAAGAUCUGUAGAUGACCCCGUAGGCUCAGCCUUGCCCCCAGCCUUGGGGGAGCCCAUGCUUGCAACAGGAUAGAUAAGGGCUCUCUGAGAUUCCCUGAGCUAUCACUCCUGGCUGGCCCUACUUUAGACCUGCCUUGCUCCAGGAAAGGAUCUUACACUUUGUUCCAGGGCCCCAGGCCUGCCUAGACAUCUCUGAGUCAGCUUCAGGGGAUCAUAACUUUAAGCCUCUUGUUCUUCACUGAUUGCUGUACUCAGGCAUUUCUUGAGUUCCUUAGUCCCUGGGUUUCGGGCUGGCUUAGGAGCAGCCAGUUGGAGGGCUCUGGAAGUGUUUUGCU